rnacentral:rRNA from 1 species
AGCCGCGGUAMUUUGACCGUGCAAAGGUAGCAUAAUCACUUGCUUCGUAAUUGGGGGCUAGAAUGAAUGAAUCAACAAAGGCUUAGCUUUAUUUUUUAGAUUAUAKGAAUUUUCUUUUUUAGUGAAGAAGCUAAAAUUUUAAAGGGGACAAGAAGACCCUUUUGAGCUUUACUAUAUUUUUUUUUAGGAAUUUUUAGUUUGGUUGGGGCGACCAAGGAAAUCUUCCUUAUUAUUUUGAUCCGUUUUUAGCGAUUAAAAGAAUAAGUUACCAAAGGGAUAACAGCGUAAUUUUUUUUGAGAGUUCUUAUUAAAUGAAGUGAUUGCGACCUCGAUGUUGACUUAUGGUUUCCUUG